GGGGAAUGGCCCUAAGUCCACCUGCAGCUUUGGUCAACUCUGCAUGAUUUUUCAGUCUGCAUACCACAGAGUCUGAUCCCAGGCACAGUGAAUUACAGUCUUCACAGUGGAAUUACAGUCUUCACAGUGGUGUAAAUCUUCUGAGAGCACCUGUCCAGAUCUGAGAACGCUUGGAGGCAGAGAAGGUACAUGAAUGAGGGGACUGUUCUCAACAUGAAAACAGACUCACUUGAACAUACCAUCCCAGAAUCCUGUUGGGGAGUUAUCAGAGGAAAUCUGGGGACAAAUGCCCCAACAAAUCACAAAGGUAGCAGUAGCAUGACAUUGGCAUCAGCAAUGAAUGAACACAAGAUCCAGCCAUUAUCAGAUCUACUUCUCAGGCUCUGUGAGUGUUUCUUACAGAUCUU
rnacentral:lncRNA from 1 species